ACUCCAGACUCCUACGGGAGGCAGCAGUGGGGGAUAUUGCACAAUGGGGGGAACCCUGAUGCAGCGACGCCGCGUGGGUGAAGAAGCGCCUCGGCGCGUAAAGCCCUGUCAGCAGGGAAGAAAAUGACGGUACCUGAAGAAGAAGCCCCGGCUAACUACGUGCCAGCAGCCGCGGUAAUACGUAGGUGGCAAGCGUUGUCCGGAUUUACUGGGUGUAAAGGGCGUGCAGCCGGGAAGACAAGUCAGAUGUGAAAUCCCGCGGCUCAACCGCGGAACUGCAUUUGAAACUGUUUUUCUUGAGUACCGGAGAGGUCAUCGGAAUUCCUUGCGUAGCGGUGAAAUGCGUAGAUAUAAGGAAGAACACCAGUGGCGAAGGCGGAUGACUGGACGGCAACUGACGGUGAGGCGCGAAAGCGUGGGGAGCAAACAGGAUUAGAUACCCGCUAC
rnacentral:rRNA from 1 species